rnacentral:rRNA from 1 species
UAGGGAAUCUUCGGCAAUGGACGAAAGUCUGACCGAGCAACGCCGCGUGAGUGAAGAAGGUUUUCGGAUCGUAAAACUCUGUUGUUAGAGAAGAACAAGGACGUUAGUAACUGAACGUCCCCUGACGGUAUCUAACCAGAAAGCCACGGCUAACUACGUGCCAGCAGCCGCGGUAAUACGUAGGUGGCAAGCGUUGUCCGGAUUUAUUGGGCGUAAAGCGAGCGCAGGCGGUUUCUUAAGUCUGAUGUGAAAGCCCCCGGCUCAACCGGGGAGGGUCAUUGGAAACUGGGAGACUUGAGUGCAGAAGAGGAGAGUGGAAUUCCAGGUGUAGCGGUAAAAUGCGUAGAUAUAUGGAGGAACGCCAGUGGCGAAGGCGGCUCUCUGGUCUGUAGCUGACGCUGAGGCUCGAAAGCGUGGGGAGCAAACAGG